UUAACUGAAUCCAUAGGUUAAUGAGGCGAACCGGGGGAACUGAAACAUCUAAGUACCCCGAGGAAAAGAAAUCAACCGAGAUUCCCCCAGUAGCGGCGAGCGAACGGGGAGGAGCCCAGAGCCUGAAUCAGCAUAUGUGUUAGUGGAAGCGUCUGGAAAGGCGCGCGAUACAGGGUGACAGCCCCGUACACAAAAGCGCAUGUGCUGUGAGCUCGAUGAGUAGGGCGGGACACGUGGUAUCCUGUCUGAAUAUGGGGGGACCAUCCUCCAAGGCUAAAUACUCCUGACUGACCGAUAGUGAACCAGUACCGUGAGGGAAAGGCGAAAAGAACCCCGGCGAGGGGAGUGAAAAAGAACCUGAAACCGUGUACGUACAAGCAGUGGGAGCACCCUUUGGGGUGUGACUGCGUACCUUUUGUAUAAUGGGUCAGCGACUUAUAUUCUGUAGCAAGGUUAACCGAAUAGGGGAGCCGGAGGGAAACCGAGUCUUAAUUGGGCGUUAAGUUGCAGGGUAUAGACCCGAAACCCGGUGAUCUAGCCAUGGGCAGGUUGAAGGUUGGGUAACACUAACUGGAGGACCGAACCGACUAAUGUUGAAAAAUUAGCGGAUGACCUGUGGCUGGGGGUGAAAGGCCAAUCAAACCGGGAGAUAGCUGGUUCUCCCCGAAAGCUAUUUAGGUAGCGCCUCGUGAAUUCAUCUCCGGGGGUAGAGCACUGUUUCGGCUAGGGGGCCAUCCCGGCUUACCAACCCGAUGCAAACUGCGAAUACCGGAGAAUGUUAUCACGGGAGACACACGGCGGGUGCUAACGUCCGUCGUGAAGAGGGAAACAACCCAGACCGCCAGCUAAGGUCCCAAAGUCAUGGUUAAGUGGGAAACGAUGUGGGAAGGCCCAGACAGCCAGGAUGUUGGCUUAGAAGCAGCCAUCAUUUAAAGAAAGCGUAAUAGCUCACUGGUCGAGUCGGCCUGCGCGGAAGAUGUAACGGGGCUAAACCAUG
rnacentral:rRNA from 1 species